GUGGCAUGGUGCCCCCUAGCACCGCGCUGGAGCUUUGGGGGCAGCUCUCAUUACGAAGGAAGAAGGACUCCAGCAUUUCUGCUGCCUAGAAACUUCUCCGUAGGGGACAGUGUCCCAGCGAAGGCCACUAACCUCUUCUCUCCGCCUGCGCUGCUCUCUGGCUGGGCU